CACGCACACAGUUAAAGCCUGGCACUGAUGUCGGUGUUUGGGUGUCGGAAGUGUGCUAAAGUGAUUCAGCUGGGUUUUCGCUAACACCAUGAGGGCUGAUGCGCCCUAUGACUGGGGUUUGAUAGUGGCCAGAGCUACAUUC